rfam:Gossypium hirsutum cultivar TM-1 chromosome 25, whole genome shotgun sequence
AUCCCAUGGUGAAGGCAUCUAUGAAAUAACUCCUUGAAUCUUUUCCACAACUCGUAUAGGGACUCGUCAUCCAAUUGUUGAAAAGUGGUGAUCUCAUUCCGCAACUU